rnacentral:tRNA from 1 species
GGGCUCGUCGUUCAAUGGAUAGGAUAACAGGUUUCGGCCCUGUUGAUGGGGGUUCGAAUCCCUCCGAGCCUA